rnacentral:lncRNA from 1 species
CCAUUGUUCCUCUUUGACACACAGUUUCCUUCGGUUGUUACAGAACCUCGGAGAGGCAAACACGAGGCUCAUUUCAGAGACUCAAUUUAACAUAGACUAACAUGCACAAUGGCACAAGGACCAGUGAAAACUUUCUGUACUUGUGGAGUUAAAAUAAGUCAUCAUCCCUCACCUCAAACCUGACUUUUGACCUGGAUUUCUUCUUUAUGUCUAACCAUCAGUCAUCCCAUUCAAUGGAAGCCUUUUACCGGGAGAUACUGGCUCCCGUUUCCUGAUUUCCCCAGGACCUUUCCAUUUCCUGUCAUCCCACAGGAUGCUCGUCUGUUACUACCUGCUUCCAGGCCGGUGCCUCAAGACACCUACAUCCUUCGAGUUUCGGCUUCAUUUUUGUCCACGAAGAUACUCUUUGUACUCUUGAGCCUGGCUAAGUUGUUUUGGUUAUUGGUCCUUAUAUUUUAUACAUCUUCGUUAUAUCUAUGGAAGAAGAGGAUGCUCGCGGAUCAACCCACUUUUAAAUCUGAGUGGAUCUACC